rnacentral:lncRNA from 1 species
UAAGGUCUCAGGGUUAAAACACACGUUCUGCCAGGGAGUUUGGGCACCUUAGACUAUAGCAAUUCUUCCGUGGGGUGCUCGUGUUAAGAACGGGGAUCGAGAGACUGUGUGUGACCUCGCUGUUAGGAAGGUGUGGGCCGGGUAUGUAAACAAGCACAAGAGUCAUAUUUGUGCAGGCUUUCAGGAACCAUCAGCUCAAAAACUUCCUGGAGCGAGAGCAGAAGACACGGCAGAUCCACGCGCCUCUCCCCACUAAUGGUGUUUUAGUGCCAUUAGAGUUCCCCAGAUUUCUGUUAAUAUCCUUACUCAUCAGUGCUAGUGAUCUUUCUUGGUGGGUCAAAGGAGCCGCCUGUGUCAGAGUUACUCCCCCAGCGUCCACCUCCUUCCGUUCUUCCAAUCCCUUCGCUCCAUCACCGCUCCCACCCGAGCCUCCUGCUGACCUUCGGGCCCCGCUCAGCCCCGGGAACAGCCUUCUGCCUUCACUGUGCAUGUGCAGACCUGACAUGUGGAUGUGGGUCUAGGGUAGGAAAUCCAUUGGCAGAGUCAUGGCCAGUGGGUAGCAUCGGUAAUUGUAGGAGCGACGCUUCCAAACGGGUGAAAUAGCAAAGUGAGGGGUUAAUGUGCUGCAGGUCAAUUUCGUUCCAGCUCAACCCAAACGGCCAGUGGAUCCGGUUCCAAGGCUCCACUGAGUUCCUGCACAACCCCUGAUUAAACAGGAAAAACCUGUGAAUUGUUGGCUUUGAAUCCCAGGCUGGGGACGGAGUGCGCUUGAGUAACAUGCAUGCUUCGGGAUUUCAUUUCAAUUUCUCAAGCCUCGGAGGAAAGGGAAGAAACCUAGGCCUUUCUACAAGAAGGGGAAAAAGAUCUAAUCUGUUUACACCCCGCAUUCCUCACGUUCCUUUGAUAGCCUGCUACUAUAAAAGCCCUCGGUCCCACCUAUGGCACGAGGUUAGUUCUGCUGCAGCUCCAUUAAAUCUGUCUGAAAAGGCAGACGUGACCCGCUGUACCCGGAGGUCCUGCUUCAUUCGGACACCGGUGCAGCCCAGUUGUUUGUGAUUACGUAUGGAUCUGAGCAGAUCCUGUUUCCCCUUCAGAGAAGGUACGCACCCACCCACCUCGUUUCAAAAAGGCUCCUUUUCCUGGUAAGAACUUAAAAGUGUCCUGGUAUGGGAAUGCCCUUCUUGGAAAAUGAAGCUCUUUCCCCUGCUCCCUCCCCUCUGUUUGAACGUGAUGACUCAAGCUUGGUGCAAAUCCAAGGCAAAUAGAAGGUGCGGGCGCCGGCAGUUGGUUAACUCCUGAGCUGCUGCGAACAGAGAUCACCAAGCAGACCCAAGCCGCAUCCCAGGCUGUGGGCUCCGGGCCUCUCUUCCCAAUCCCCUCCAGGAUUCUGUGGUCUGGAGGUUUUCCAGCCACGAUGCUGAAGGAGUAGGUGGGAGCUGGAGAUUCCGUAUCUUCUGCUGCGUUGGUUAUCAAACCCUUCCCUCAGCUGCAGUCACAGCAGUGGAGUUAACAGCACCGGGCUCGCCGAGGUUUACUUUCCCAUGUGUGCGUUCAGAACGGGGCCAGAUGUUGGGUUAUUUUUGUUCCUGUAGUGCCGUUGCGUCAAACCGUUGGAAUCCAUCGGCAGCACUGCGCUGGUGGAAGUUGGGUCAGGGCCCACAAAGUGUGAGCACGGGGCAACUAUUCUGCCACAUCCAAGCCAUGACGGUCUUCCAAAGACUGAAGCAGAACAUUAGAAACCUGUGUUGGCGAGUGGGCAAAGGGCAGAGGAACCUACAGCUGACCUACGUGUAGCCGGGGCCGAUGGAACACAAAUGAAGGGCUUUGGAGUGAAGCUGAGGGGGAACGCGUGGCACGGUUGGGUCUUGCCAGCAGGUGGUGAGGAUGCUGAAGCGCCGCUCUCUGAGGUGUCUCUGAAACAAAGACAGAAUGAGGAAGAAAGGCCACCUGAAUAUCAACAGCUUCCAUCGGAAGUAAUCUGGGCUCAGUGAUCAGCAUUUCAUAACAAAAAAGUGAUUUGAAUGGUACAGCUCGAAUCGCAGCUUCCUCCCUUGAUUUGCCACAGCUCUGAUUUUUAUUUGCAAACGAAGGCACAAACGCAGCAAUAUCUGUUUGAAUAUUAAAAUAUUUCUGGAAAUCAGCCUGAAUGUAAUGGAACAAAUCCUGAAAGGGUUCCAAAAAAAUAUAAUCACCCAUGGAAACAAUUUGAAUGCUCCCCAAGGGGACACAGGCG